GUACUGGUGACAGGAGGGCAGACCAGUGAGUGUGAUAAGCGUUUUUGUCCUGGGGAGUGGAAAAGAUCCUGUAGGAAUGGAGUCCAGUAUCCAAGAGAUGAGACAGUUGUGAUGUGGAGCUAGGAAACAGAAGACCAGGUGAGCUUGUAUGAAGAGUUGGACAGCACCAGGCCCUGACAUGAUUCACGCCUACUGGCUGAAGAAGCUCAUUCAGUAAGCAUCUGGCAGCAUAAAUGAACCAGCUGCUAACAAACAAGAGGCAGUCCUGAUCCCCAAAAAUCCCCAACGAGGAAAUAACCUCCCUCAGUACCACAAGGAAGCACCUUAUGAUGCAUGGAGGAUUUCAACCCAAAUCCAAUACCCUGAGACUUCACGCUUAGUGGAAAGGAGCCCAAGGACUAGAGAGUCUCAGAACAUGUCCAGGAUGAGCCAACAAACAUCCAUGAGUACGUCAGGGACACACCCCUUAGGCUCAUCAAGAAUGACCGACCUAAGAUCCUGUGGGACUUCCAGAGGACAUAGUAGUUGUGGACUAGCAGAGGAAGGUGGCCGUAGUGAUAGAUGUAGCUAUACCAAGUGAUAGCUACAUCAGGAAGAAGGAACAUGAGAAGCUGGAGAAAUAUCAAGGGCUGAGAGAAGAACUUGAGAAGAUGUGGAAAGUAGUCCAUAUUUGGUCCAUAUUAACAUGACAGCAUCACACAGUUGUUGCAGAGUUGUGAGCUGCACAUGUACAAUGUGACUCCUGUUCCAUCACAUCCCAAAGGUGCUCUAUUGGACUGAGAUGUGGUGACUGUGGAGGUCAUUUGAGACGUUGUCAUUCAGGAUGGAUCUCUGCUUCCAUGCUGUUUACACCAAGACUCAU